UACAUGGGGUGCAAACGUUGCUCGGAAUUAUUGGGCGUAAAGCGCACGUAGGCGGUUCGUUAAGUCGGAUGUGAAAGCCCUCGGCUCAACUGAGGAAGUGCACCCGAAACUGGCGAGCUUGAGUACGAAAGAGGAUCGCGGAAUUCCCGGUGUAGAGGUGAAAUUCGUAGAUAUCGGAGGAACACCGGCGGCGAAGGCGGCGAUCUGGGUCGAUACUGACGCUGAGGUGUGAAGCGUGGGAGCAAACAGG
rnacentral:rRNA from 1 species